AGAGAGAAGCAAAACAAGUGAUGUGGAGCAAAACUCAAAAAGACGGUCUCAGUUCGGACUGAGGGCUGAAAUUCGCCUUCACGAAGUCGGAAUUGCUAGUAAUGGCAGGUCAGCAUACUGCCGUGAAUACGUUCCCGGGCCUUGUACACACCGCCCGUCACACCAUGAGAGUCGGGAACACCCGAAGUCGGUAGUCUAACCUCGUGAGGACGCCGCCGAAGGUGGGCUUGAUAAUUGGGGUGAAGUCGUAACAAGGUAUC
rnacentral:rRNA from 1 species